GGGCUCACACAAGCGGUGGAGGAUGUGGCUUAAUUCGAGGCUACGCGAAGAACCUUACCCAGGCUUGACGUGUCUAGGAAUUCCUGUGAAAGCAGGAAGUGCCCUUCGGGGAACCUUAGCGCAGGUGCUGCAUGGCUGUCGUCAGCUCGUGUCGUGAGAUGUCGGGUUAAGUCCCUUAACGAGCGAAACCCUUGUCCUUAGUUGCCAGCGAGUAAUGUCGGGGACUCUAAGGAGACUGCCGGUGUUAAACCGGAGGAAGGUGGGGAUGACGUCAAGUCCUCAUGGCCUUUAUGCCUGGGGCUGCACACGUCCUACAAUGCGGCGUACAAAGCGAUGCAAGAUCGUGAGAUGGAGCAAACCGCAGAAAACGCCGCCCAGUUCGGAUUGCAGGCUGAAAUUCGCCUGCAUGAAGCCGGAAUCGCUAGUAAUCGCGGAUC
rnacentral:rRNA from 1 species